ACGCGGCCCCAGCUCCUGAACCAGCGCAGUGAGCCGCAGCCGCUUCUCAGCCUGGGUCUCUGGAACCCUCGGAGAAAAUUUCUCCUCGAGACGGAUUUCAGCGGUAGGGAAGAGGGACCAGUGACGCGAGGAGCAAGAAAAGAGAAACAUGGGAGACGAAUGUUCAAACCCACAUCUCCUCGCUCAGCCUGGAAGCUCGCCACAGUGGGAUCAUGGGACCCCGAGGGAAGAGGCUGAGAAUCAGUCCGGCACCCGCGUUCCUCGGGUUUUAAAAGCACAUCUGGGGCCAGAGACUGCAUAGCCAACUAAACGGAGUAAACGCGACAGGUGGAGGAGGCAGAGUUGUCAGGGGCCAAGCCCCGCGCGAUCUGGCCAGAGUCUUGGGGAGCGCGGACCUGGGACUGCAGAGAGGCGUUUUGAAGCGUGCUGCGCGCACCUGCCUCUCGGAGAUAUUCGACUCCACCCGGGCGUCUCCUGAGAGCCCGCAGUCCACAGCCAGGAGGGCUGCCCACCCUAGGACACGUCCUCUCUCGACCCCUCACUCUUUCAAAACUGGGGAAGAGGCGGAGGGGAUGAAAAAGAAGAAAGAGAGGGAGAAGGAAAGAGAGAAAGAAGGAAAUAAAUUUUAAAAAAAUAUAUUAA